rnacentral:rRNA from 1 species
CACGCUGUAAACGAUGAUAACUAGAUGUUGGCGAUAGACAGUCAGUGUCGUAGCGAAAGUGAUAAGUUAUCCACCUGGGGAGUACGAUCGCAAGGUUGAAACUCAAAGGAAUUGACGGGGGCCCGCACAAGCGGAGGAGCAUGUGGUUUAAUUCGAUGAUACGCGAGGAACCUUACCUGGACUUGAACGUAUUAGGCAUAAUUUGGAAACAGAUUAGUUAGCAAUAACCUGAUACGAGGUGCUGCAUGGUUGUCGUCAGCUCGUGCCGUGAGGUGUCAGGUUAAGUCCUAUAACGAGCGCAACCCCUACACAUAGUUACCAACACGUUAAGGUGGGGACUCUAUGUGGACUGCCGGCGCAAGCUGAGAGGAAGGUGGGGAUGACGUCAAAUCAGCACGGCCCUUACGUCCAGGGCGACACACGUGCUACAAUGGCAGGUACAGAGGGCAGCUACACAGUGAUGUGAUGCGAAUCUCAAAAGCCUGUCUCAGUUCGGAUUGGAGUCUGCAACCCGACUCCAUGAAGUUGGAUUCGCUAGUAAUCGCAGAUCA